rnacentral:rRNA from 1 species
UGAGUAACACGUGGAUAACCUACCUAUAAGACUGGGAUAACUUCGGGAAACCGGAGCUAAUACCGGAUAAUAUAUUGAACCGCAUGGUUCAAUAGUGAAAGACGGUUUUGCUGUCACUUAUAGAUGGAUCCGCGCCGCAUUAGCUAGUUGGUAAGGUAACGGCUUACUAAGGCAACGAUGCGUAGCCGACCUGAGAGGGUGAUCGGCCACACUGGAACUGAGACACGGUCCAG